rnacentral:rRNA from 1 species
GGAAGCAGGGGAUCGUAAGACCUUGCGCUUUUGGAGCGGCCGAUGCCUGAUUAGCUAGUUGGUGGGGUAAAAGCCUACCAAGGCAACGAUCAGUAGUUGGUCUGAGAGGACGACCAGCCACACUGGGACUGAGACACGGCCCAGACUCCUACGGGAGGCAGCAGUGGGGAAUUUUGGACAAUGGGCGAAAGCCUGAUCCAGCAAUGCCGCGUGAGUGAAGAAGGCCUUCGGGUUGUAAAGCUCUUUCAGUCGAGAAGAAAAGGUUGUGAUGAAUAAUCACAACUCAUGACGGUAUCGACAGAAGAAGCACCGGCUAACUACGUGCCAGCAGCCGCGGUAAUACGUAGGGUGCAAGCGUUAAUCGGAAUUACUGGGCGUAAAGGGUGCGCAGGCGGCUUUGUAAGUCAGAUGUGAAAUCCCCGGGCUUAACCUGGGAAUUGCGUUUGAAACUACAAAGCUAGA